rnacentral:rRNA from 1 species
CCUACGGGAGGCUGCAGUGGGGAAUAUUGCACAAUGGGCGCAAGCCUGAUGCAGCCAUGCCGCGUGUGUGAAGAAGGCCUUCGGGUUGUAAAGCACUUUCAGCGGGGAGGAAGGCGUUAAGGUUAAUAACCUUGGCGAUUGACGUUACCCGCAGAAGAAGAACCGGCUAACUCCGUGCCAGCAGCCGCGGUAAUACGGAGGGUGCAAGCGUUAAUCGGAAUUACUGGGCGUAAAGCGCACGCAGGCGGUCUGUCAAGUCGGAUGUGAAAUCCCCGGGCUCAACCUGGGAACUGCAUUCGAAACUGGCAGGCUAGAGUCUUGUAGAGGGGGGUAGAAUUCCAGGUGUAGCGGUGAAAUGCGUAGAGAUCUGGAGGAAUACCGGUGGCGAAGGCGGCCCCCUGGACAAAGACUGACGCUCAGGUGCGAAAGCGUGGGGAGCAAACAGGAUUAGAUACCCGUGUAGUC